CGGUGAAGCCCAGCUUGCUGGGUGGAUCAGUGGCGAACGGGUGAGUAACACGUGAGCAACCUGCCCUCCACUUCGGGAUAAGCCUUGGAAACGGGGUCUAAUACCGGAUAUGAGCGCUCAUCGCAUGGUGGGUGUUGGAAAGUUUUUCGGUGGGGGAUGGGCUCGCGGCCUAUCAGCUUGUUGGUGGGGUGAUGGCCUACCAAGGCGUCGACGGGUAGCCGGCCUGAGAGGGCGACCGGCCACACUGGGACUGAGACACGGCCCAGACUCCUACGGGAGGCAGCAGUGGGGAAUAUUGCACAAUGGGCGAAAGCCUGAUGCAGCGACGCCGCGUGAGGGAUGACGGCCUUCGGGUUGUAAACCUCUUUCAGCAGGGAAGAAGCGCAAGUGACGGUACCUGCAGAAGAAGCGCCGGCUAACUACGUGCCAGCAGCCGCGGUAAUACGUAGGGCGCAAGCGUUGUCCGGAAUUAUUGGGCGUAAAGAGCUCGUAGGCGGUCUGUCGCGUCUGGUGUGAAAUCCCGAGGCUCAACCUCGGGCUUGCAUCGGGUACGGGCAGACUAGAGUGCGGUAGGGGAGACUGGAAUUCCUGGUGUAGCGGUGGAAUGCGCAGAUAUCAGGAGGAACACCGAUGGCGAAGGCAGGUCUCUGGGCCGCAACUGACGCUGAGGAGCGAAAGCAUGGGGAGCGAACAGGAUUAGAUACCCUGGUAGUCCAUGCCGUAAACGUUGGGCACUAGGUGUGGGGCUCAUUCCACGAGUUCCGUGCCGCAGCUAACGCAUUAAGUGCCCCGCCUGGGGAGUACGGCCGCAAGGCUAAAACUCAAAGGAAUUGACGGGGGCCCGCACAAGCGGCGGAGCAUGCGGAUUAAUUCGAUGCAACGCGAAGAACCUUACCAAGGCUUGACAUGCACCGGAAACACCUAGAGAUAGGUGCCCCGCAAGGUCGGUGCACAGGUGGUGCAUGGUUGUC
rnacentral:rRNA from 1 species